rnacentral:lncRNA from 1 species
CCACGGGGAAGAGGUAGGGGUGGUUGCAGCACUUCUUCAGGUCCAUCAUGAUGUUGAGCAGCGACACCUGGUUCCCUCCGCCCCGCGAGUUCAGCGCCUCGAAGUUGCGCGUCAGGAUGUACUUGUAGUACUUCCUGCGGGGCGGGGGGCUGGCACCCGGCUCGGAGGGGGGGGGCAGCCCCCCUCCCCCAGCUGGUGGGAUCCCCCCUCACCCUGCAGGAGCCCAGGUUUGGGGGCUGGGAUCUCCCCGUGUUGGUGGGAGGCAAGGGAUCGGGGCGCUGGGACCCCCCCACGCACCCCAAGGGCUUUGGGGUCUGGGUGUUUGGGGAGCUGGGACCCCCCCCCCCCAGGGUGGGUGGGAUCUGGUGUUGGGGUGCUGGGACCCCUAAAGGUGGAUUGGACCUGGUAUUGGGGUGCUGAGACCCUCCCCCAAAGCUAGUGGGAUCAGGUAUUGGGGUGCCAAGACCCCCAAGGUGGAUGGCUCUGGGUGUUGAGACCCCCUCUAAGCUGGUUGGGACCUGGUAUUGGGGUUCUGAGACCCCCAGCGUUGGUGGGAUCUGGGAGUUGGGGUGCUGAGACCCCCCCCCCAAUGCUGGUGGGAUCAGGUAUUGGGGUGCUGAGACCCCCCAGGUGGGUAGGAGCUCGUGUCAGGGUGCUGAGACCCUCCCCAAGCCCAAGGUGGGUGGGAUCUGGGAAUUAGGGUGCUGAGACCCUCCCCAAGCCCAGCGGGAUCAGGUAUUGGGGUGCUGGGAUCCCCAAAGCUGGUGUGAUGUGGGAAUUGGGGUGCUGAGACCCCACCCAAGGUGGAUGAGACCUGGUAUUGGGGUGCUGGGACCUGGAAUUGGGGUGCUGAGACCCCCAAAGCCGGUGGGCUCUGGGUGUUGGGGUGCUGAGACCCCCUCUAAAAUGGGUGGGACCUGGUACUGGGGUGCUGAGACCCUCCCCAAGGCCAGUUGGAUCAGGUAUUGGGGUUCUGGGAUCCCCAAAGUUGGUGUGAUCUGGGAAUUGGGGUGCUGAGACCCCCCCCAAGGUGGAUGGGACCUGAAAUUGG